AUCAGCGGCGAACGGGUGAGUACACGUGGGUGACUUCCCCAAAGACGGGGAUACUCGAGAGGGGCGGGGCUAAUACCCGAUGUGCUCAGCAGUUCACUCUGUUGAGUAAAGCUAUGGCGCUUUGGGAUGGGCCCGCGGCCCAUCAGCUAGUUGGUAGGGUAAAGGCCUACCAAGGCUAAGACGGGUAGGGGGCGUGAGAGCGCGAUCCCCCACACUGGCACUGAGACACGGGCCAGACUCCUACGGGAGGCAGCGGUGAGGAAUAUUGCGCAAUGGACGAAAGUCGUGACGCAGCGACGCCGCGUGGGCGAUGAAGGCCUUCGGGUCGUAAAGCCCUUUUCUGGGGGAAGAGAAAGGACGGUACCCCAGGAAUAAGCCCCGGCUAACUACGUGCCAGCAGCCGCGGUAAAACGUAGGGGGCAAGCGUUAUCCGGAUUUACUGGGCGUAAAGAGCGUUGAGGCGGUUUUGUAAGUUGGGCGUGAAAGCCCUGGGCUUAACUCAGGGAAGCCGUACAAUACUGCGAAACUUGAGGGCAGCAGAGGGAGGUGGAAUUCCCGGAGUAGCGGUGAAAUGCGUAGAUAUCGGGAGGAACACCAGUGGCGAAGGCAGGCUCCUGGGCUGCUCCUGACGCU
rnacentral:rRNA from 1 species